rnacentral:rRNA from 1 species
UACAGAGGGUGCAAGCGUUGUUCGGAAUUAUUGGGCGUAAAGGGCGCGUAGGCGGUGCGGUAAGUCUGCGGUGAAAUCUCCCGGCUCAACUGGGAGUCUGCCGUGGAAACUGCCGUGCUUGAGUGUGGGAGAGGUGAGUGGAAUUCCUGGUGUAGCGGUGAAAUGCGCAGAUAUCAGGAAGAACACCCGUGGCGAAAGCGGCUCUCUGGAACGGUACUGACGCUGAGACGCGAAAGCUAGGGGAGCAAACAGG